rnacentral:rRNA from 1 species
UACGUAGGGGGCAAGCGUUGUCCGGAUUUAUUGGGCGUAAAGAGCGUGUAGGCGGUCAGGUAGGUCGGUUGUGAAAACUGGAGGCUCAACCUUCAGAGGUCGACCGAAACCCCCUGGCUAAAGUCCGGGAGAGGAGAGUGGAAUUCCUGGUGUAGCGGUGAAAUGCGCAGAUAUCAGGAAGAACACCCGUGGCGAAAGCGGCUCUCUGGAACGGGUACU